rnacentral:rRNA from 1 species
GAAGGCGGCCCCUGGACGAGACUGACGCUCAGGUGCGAAAGCGUGGGGAGCAAACAGGAUUAGAUACCUGGUAGUCACGCUGUAAACGAUGUCGAUUUGGAGGUUGUGCCCGUGAGGCGUGGCUUCCGGAGCUAACGCGUUAAAUCGACCGCUGGGGAGUACGGCCGCAAGGUUAAAACUCAAAUGAAUUGACGGGGGCCCGCACAAGCGGUGGAGCAUGUGGUUUAAUUCGAUGCAACGCGAAGAACCUUACCUACUCUUGACAUCCAGAGAACUUAGCAGAGAUGCUUUGGUGCCUUCGGGAACUCUGAGACAGGUGCUGCAUGGCUGUCGUCAGCUCGUGUUGUGAAAUGUUGGGUUAAGUCCCGCAACGAGCGCAACCCUUAUCCUUUGUUGCCAGCGGUUCGGCCGGGAACUCAAAGGAGACUGCCAGUGAUAAACUGGAGGAAGGUGGGGAUGACGUCAAGUCAUCAUGGCCCUUACGAGUAGGGCUACACACGUGCUACAAUGGCGUAUACAAAGAGAAGCGACCUCGCGAGAGCAAGCGGACCUCAUAAAGUACGUCGUAGUCCGGAUUGGAGUCUGCAACUCGACUCCAUGAAGUCGGAAUCGCUAGUAAUCGUAGAUCAGAAUGCUACGGUGAAUACGUUCCCGGGCCUUGUACACACCGCCCGUCACACCAUGGGAGUGGGUUGCAAAAGAAGUAGGUAGCUUAACCUUCGGGAGGGCGCUUACCACUUUGUGAUUCAUGAUUGGGGUGAAGUCGUAACAAGGUAACCA